UUACACAAAAUACAUACAAAUACAAUACAAUUAGUAAUUCCAAAAAAAAAAUUACUAUCUACCCAAGUGGUUAUUAAUACACCAACACACCUGGUGGACAGAUGGAUCGGCAUCGGCCCCGGCCCAUUCAUUGGUAGCCACGUCAACCGUCAGCACAGCCAAUUACGCAAAUUAAACAGAUUGUUAUCCUGUCCAGACAGGACCCCAUUCCGUCCCGUCCCGUCAGUCCCGUCCGUCCCGUCGCAUCCAUCCCACGUCUACAUCUCGUCCCCCGCGCGACCCCGGACAAUAUGACAAGCCAGGUGGCUUAAUUGAAUCAACGUGACAUAAUUACUUAAUUAAUUAAGUGCGCCCAACGGUCACACAUUCAAAUCGGCCAUCAUGUUGCGAAAAUCAUUCAGCGAGCCGUACAUUUCAAAGUCCCCGCCCCCGCCGCCGCUGCCACUCCCGUAGACCUGUGCCUGGGCGUGGGAGCGCACGUGCGCCGGCCUGGGCAGCGUCAGCGGCACGGGCAGCAGCUCCGGCAUCACCGAGUGAUGGGUGAUCAAGGCCUUCAGCGAACUAAACUCCUUGGUGAAGCCCUGCAAACCCCGCUGUGUCCUGAGGAUCAGAUAGUGGGCCACACGCGGUGAUGGCGGCGGCACACGCAGCGACAAGGCAAAGCAGCCUGGCUUGGUGCUGCUCUGACGCACCAGGAAGGCGCCGGGACUCUGACGGGAGAGCACCUCCAGUGAGAUCUCGCGCGGAAUGCCCGCCUGGAACCAGGCGGCCCCCUUAAGCUCCUGCUGCUCGGCCAAGCUAAGGUUAUCCAGACGCAGCGAUCCAUUGCCGGCGAACAGUUUUGGACUGGAAUUAGCUGCAGAUGUGUACGUGUGGGUGUGUGUGAGGAGAAGGGAGAUUCGCGAGAGGAACUGAAGGAAUGAUGUUCUAAAUCCAUCUGGAACUUAGCAUGAAACGUAUUUAAGUCUUCAUCUACACGAGAACUCGGCCAGGAACGUGGGGCAGUCCCUCUGAGCUAGAGGAUAAUCUUCAAUAAAUCUUGGCAUACUUUUGGGCUGGCGGUUUAACAGAGCGGGGCUCUGUUAAGUUAAACCAAGGUGAAUCUUUUGGGGGCACUAGAAAGCAAUGUUAAAUGUUGGAAUCAGAGAUGUUGAUGCCGAUCGAUAGUCUGGAUUCUCACGAUCCUGGGAAAGUAGAUCUUUUGCCCAUCUGUCCCUUUUGUAUUCACCUCGGAAUACUUAUCCAUUAGCAUAUAAUAUAUACAUUUACUGUUUUUUUUUUUAUGUGGAAAAUUUGUAUUUUAUUGUAAAC